GACGAACGCUGGCGGCGUGCUUAACACAUGCAAGUCGAACGGACAGGCCCUGCUUUUGUGGGUUGCUUGAGUGGCGAACGGGUGAGUAACACGUGAGUAACCUGCCCUUGUAUUUCGGAUAACUUCUGGGAACUGGGGCUCAUACCGCAUAGGAUCUCCUGCUCCACGGGGGGGGUUGGAAAGUGUCGGCGGUGCGGGAUGGUCUCGCUGCUUAUCAGCUUGUUGGUGGGGUAGGGGCUUACCAAGGGUUCGACGGGUACCCGGCAUGAGAGGGUUACCGGGCACAUGGGGCCUGCGAGAGGGACCAGAAUGGUACGGGAGGCAGCAGUGGGGAAUAUGACACAGUGGGCGGAAGCCUGAGGCAGCAACGCCGCGUGCGGGAUGCCGGCCUACGGGUUAUAAACAGAUUUCGCAUGUGACGAAGAGUGAGUGACGGUAAUGGGUAAAGAAGCAACGGCUAACUACGUG
rnacentral:rRNA from 1 species